AACAUGUCCGUAUGAGAGUAAUAUAAGGUCUAGCCUGCCCGUUGAAAAAUUGAAAGGCCGCGGUAAUUUGACCGUGCAAAGGUAGCAUAAUCAUUAGCUUUUUAAUUGGAAGCUUGUAUGAAAGGUUGAAUGAAAAAUAAUCUGUCUUAUUUAUAAAGAUUGAAUUUGACUUUUAAGUGAAAAGGCUUAAAUGAUAUAAAGGGACGAUAAGACCCUAUAAAACUUUAUAUAAGAUAAAUUUUUUAUUAGAAUUGUUUGUUUAAUAAGGAAUAAUUUAUUAAUAUUUUAUUGGGGCGAUAGGAAUAUAAUUAAAUAACUGUUCUUGUAAAGUUUAAAUAUAAUUAUUUAUAAAGAUCCUCAAAUAGAGAUUAAAAGGUAAAGUUACUUUAGGGAUAACAGCGUAAUUUUUUUUAAGAGUUCUUAUCGACAAAAAGGAUUGCGACCUCGAUGUUGAAUUAAAAUUUCUUUAUGGUGCAGGAGCUAUAAGAGAAAGUCUGUUCGACUUUUAAAAUUUUACAUGAUUUGAGUUCAAACCGGCGUG
rnacentral:rRNA from 1 species